rnacentral:lncRNA from 1 species
AGCUCCCUCCUCUCUGCAAGUGUCUCAAGGCCAAAGACAGACUGGUGGGAAAGUUCCGACCAGCAAAGCCAUAUGCUCCCCCUCCCCUACCUAAAACCCCAAAUAAAAACACUUCCUUUUAGCUUUUUCGGGGAGUUUGGGAUUUCAGCGUUAGCUGCCCUCUCUCCUUGCUCAGCGCUGUGCAAAAAUAAAGUUCCUACUUUCUUCCACCACCCCUGGUGUCAGAGAUUGGCUUGCUGUGCAACGGAGUAAAAAUCUGAACACUUGAAUUUUCUUGGGUGCCCAUGGAACAGCCUUUCUCUUGAGAUUCAGUGCCUACCUUCUGCCUUGAACUGCAGCUAAAGGAAAUGCUUUCUACUUCCCGUGAGAUGCUUCCAGGAAACUUUUGCUGAACAGUAACCAGUUGGUGUGAGCUCUUCUGGAGCCAUCCUCAUGCUGAAAGUAACUUGGUUGUCCCAUUUCGGUGUGUGAGAGAUGGCAGAAUGCCUACUUCCCUUCCCUCAGGUCACUUAUGGCUUAUAUUGUAGCUCUCAGAAGGAAUGUCUGUAAGGGACUGUCUUGCAACACUAAAGGGGUUGUCUUGCUGGAAUUGAAGAAAAGGAGAGAACACUUCGGGCUGAGGGAACUACAUUGAGUAUUUCAGUGUAGCUGAUGUCCUGGUGAUGAGGCUGUGUAUGAGGGGAUUCUUCUGACUGUGGGGUAAAACAACAGUGUUCACUUGAGAAGACCUGUAAAGAGAGAGGCGCUGUCUCUGUUCUUCUACCUGGGACAGCAGUUCCAACCUGGAGAGCUCUCUGAUAGUGUACUCCACACCGACACCUCAGGGCACUUGGACAGAUCAAAGAGACAGUGCGCUUGCCAUGAAUUCCAGCCUCCUCAGCAUGACUAUAGCUGCAGAGGUAUUGAUCCCUAGGCACUCCCUAACAAACGUCCAUCUCAGAGUCUGCUUAAUACAGAACCCAACCUGGGAAACUCCGAAUUGACUUGCAGCCUGCAGAGGAGAAGACAGAAGAGGUCACCCAUGGAAGCUGGAGCUCUAGCAGCCAUCUGGAACCAUGAAACAACCUUGAGAAUGGAAGCCAUGUACUAAGCUGAGAAAAGGAACAUGGAGAAGAGAGCGAAAAGAAGACUUAUUCAGGGGAGCCGUGGAAAAAGAAGUGAAUUACCAUUCCAGGAUUGGUGACAUGUUUAGCCCCCAGAGCAGUAUUGUCCAAUAGCAACAUACUGUGAGCCACAAAUACAAGCUCUCCAAGGGAUUUUAAAUUUUCUAGUAGGCACAUUAAAAAAGUAAGAAGAAACCCA